CUGCAAUCAACCGAUAUUGGAAUCAAAUCAACGCCGAUGCCGCCGUCUUCGACGACGAUAACGACGUGGACAUAUCCGAGCCCGAGUUCGAAUAGCAGCCAACUAAUCAUCACAAUACCAUACAAUAAAAUAAAAUAAAUCAUAAGUAACAUUUGUUACGUAACUGCUAUCCCGAAUAUGUGGGUUAGUUAUGCACAAAAAAAGUCAUUUCCCAUUUGGUUGAGAUGGCUGUGCGGGAGUACAAACAGAGCGUUUUUCCAUUAUAUGGGAAACACCCUAAUGUAUACAUUUGUGCAAAUACUUACCUUUUCAUGAGCAUUUAAUGUGGAUUGGCGUGAAAACUUUUUGCCACACACAUUACACUGGAACGGUUUUUCCCCAGAAUGAGUACGGAUGUGCCUACGGGACAUUUCAUAAAAUAAUAUUUAUUUUUACAUAACUAAUUUGUGCAAAACUACUAAAAGGUACAAAACUCACCUACGACAAUUAUAUACAUUUGUAAAGGUUUUUUGACAAAAGAAACAAACAUUGGUAUUGCAAUUUGCCGCAAUCAGAUUAAAAUCAUUUGGCGAGUCAACGUUAAUAUUCGGCACAUUAACAGUUGCUGUUGAUGUCUUGAUGGUGCCUGCCGUGCCACUGGUUAUGAUUGCUGUCUGAUUUACCGCCGUCACCUUUGAAUUUAAUGUAUAAUUCAACUGUGCUGUUGCUUCGACCAUCUGAAACAAUCGAAUCCAAACAUUUAAUUUAUUCAAAAGUUUCGUGUAAUGUGACGGUUUAUUUCGUAUUGAUUUGUUACUCUUUUUAUGAAUUUCAUGGGAAUAUUGAACAAAUGGACAAAUUAUAUUUUACAUCGAUGAUUGUA